CGAAACCGCGAAUGGCUCAUUAAAUCAGUUAUGGUUCCUUGGUUCGUACAUAGUUACUUGGAUAACUGUGGUAAUUCUAGAGCUAAUACAUGCAGCAGAGCUCCGACCUUCGGGAACGAGCGCUUUUAUUAGACCAAAAUCAAUCGGGCCUAGUGUCCGUUGAACGUGGUGACUCUGUAUAACUUUUGGCUGAUCGCACGGGCUCGUCCCGGCGACGCAACCUUCAAGUGUCUGCCUUAUCAACUGUCGAUGGUAGGUUAUGCGCCUACCAUGGUCGUAACGGGUGACGGGGAAUCAGGGUUCGAUUCCGGAGAGGGAGCCUGAGAAACGGCUACCACAUCCAAGGAAGGCAGCAGGCGCGCAAAUUACCCACUCCCGGUACGGGGAGGUAGUGACGAAAAAUAACAAUACGGGACUCUUUUGAGACCCCGUAAUUGGAUUGAGCACAGCCUAAAUCCUUUAGCGAUUAUCAAUUGGAGGACAAGCCAAGUGCCAGCACCCGCGGUAACACUUGCUCCAAUAGCGUAUAUUAAAGUUGUUGCGGUUAAAAAGCUCGUAGUUGGAUCUCAGUUCUAGUCGGGUGGUCCGCCUAACGGCGAUAACUGCCCGUUCUGAACAGCUCAGCCGGUUUCCCUUGAUGAUCUUCACCGGUUGUCUCGGUUGACCGGCACGUUUACUUUGAAUAAAUUAGAGUGCUCAAAGCAGGCGUGACGCCUGAACAAUGGUGCAUGGAAUAAUGGAAUAGGACCUCGGUUCUAUUUUGUUGGUUUUCGGAACACGAGGUAAUGAUUAAGAGGGACAGACGGGGGCAUUCGUAUUGCGACGUUAGAGGUGAAAUUCUUGGACCGUCGCAAGACGAACUACUGCGAAAGCAUUUGCCAAGAAUGUUUCCAUUAAUCAAGAACGAAAGUUAGAGGUGCGAAGACGAUCAGAUACCGUCCUAGUUCUAACCAUAAACGAUGCCAGCCAGCGAUCCGGCUGCGUUCCUCAAAUGACGCGCCGGGCAGCUUCCGGGAAACCAAAGCUUUUGGGUUCCGGGGGAAGUAUGGUUGCAAAGCUCGAACUUAAAGGAAUUGACGGAGGGUCACCACCAGCAAUGGAGCUUGCGGUUCAAUUUGACUCAACGCAGUGAACCCUACCAGGCCAGGACACAGGGAGGAUUGACAGAUUAAGAGCUCUUUCUUGAUUUUGUGGGUAGUGGUGCAUGGCCGCUCGUAGUUCGCGAAGUGAUUUGUCUGGUUUAUUCUGAUAACGGACGAGGCUCUAGCCUACUAAAUAGACGUCGGAUCCACCCGAGUCCGACGUAUCUUCUUAGAGGGACUGGCGGCGUUUAGCCGCACGAGGCAGAGCAAUAGCAGGUCUGUUAUGCCCUUAGAUGUCCUGGGCCACACGCGUGCUACAUUGAAGGGAUCAUCGUGUGCUUUCCCUUUCCGAGAGGAAUGGGUAACCCGUUGAACCUCCUUCGUGAUGGGGAUAGGGGCUUGAAAUUAUCCCCCUUGAACGAGGAAUUGCUAGUAAGCGUGAGUCAUUAUCUCGUGUUGAUUAGGUCCCUGGCCCUUGUACACACCGCCCGUCGCUAUUACAGAUUGAAUGUCUUAGUGAGGACUUCGGAUUGGCUGUCGAUUUGGCUUUAGGGUCGAGCCGACGUGCCGAAAAGAUGCCCGAACUUGGUCAUUUAGAUGAAAUAAAAGUCGUAACAAGGUAACCGUAGGUGAACCUGCG
rnacentral:rRNA from 1 species